UACAGAGGUCUCAAGCGUUGUUCGGAUUCAUUGGGCGUAAAGGGUGCGUAGGCGGCAGUGCAAGUCAGGUGUGAAAUCCCGGGGCUCAACCCCGGAACUGCACUUGAUACUGCUCUGCUAGAGUACUGGAGAGGAGACUGGAAUUUACGGUGUAGCAGUGAAAUGCGUAGAUAUCGUAAGGAAGACUAGUGGCGAAGGCGAGUCUCUGGACAGUUACUGACGCUGAGGCACGAAGGCCAGGGGAGCAAACGGG
rnacentral:rRNA from 1 species